AUACGUAGGGUGCAAGCGUUAAUCGGAAUUACUGGGCGUAAAGCGUGCGCAGGCGGUUUUGUAAGACAGUGGUGAAAUUCCCGGGACCAAACUGGGAACUGCCAUUGUGACUGCAAGGCUGGAGGGCGGCAGAGGGGGACGGAAUUUCGCGUGUAUCUGUGGAGUGCGUAGAUAUGCGGAGGAACACCGAUGGCGAAGGCAAUCCCCUGGGCCUGCACUGACGCUCAUGCACGAAAGCGUGGGGAGCAAACAGGAUUAGAUACCCUGGUAGUCCACGCCCUAAACGAUGUCAACUGGUUGUUGGGGAUUUAUUUUCUCAGUAACGAAGCUAACGCGUGAAGUUGACCGCCUGGGGAGUACGGCCGCAAGGUUAAAACUCAAAUGAAUUGACGGGG
rnacentral:rRNA from 1 species